rnacentral:rRNA from 1 species
GAUGAACGCUGGCGGCGUGCCUAAUACAUGCAAGUCGAGCGAACGGACGGGAAGCUUGCUUCUCUGAUGUUAGCGGCGGACGGGUGAGUAACACGUGGAUAACCUACCUAUAAGACUGGGAUAACUUCGGGAAACCGUAGCUAAUACCGGAUAAUAUUUUGAACCGCAUGGUUCAAAAGUGAAAGACGGUCUUGCUGUCACUUAUAGAUGGAUCCGCGCUGCAUUAGCUAGUUGGUAAGGUAACGGCUUACCAAGGCAACGAUGCAUAGCCGACCUGAGAGGGUGAUCGGCCACACUGGAACUGAGACACGGUCCAGACUCCUACGGGAGGCAGCAGUAGGGAAUCUUCCGCAAUGGGCGAAAGCCUGACGGAGCAACGCCGCGUGAGUGAUGAAGGUCUUCGGAUCGUAAAACUCUGUUAUUAGGGAAGAACAUAUGUGUAAGUAGCUGUGCACAUCUUGACGGUACCUAAUCAGAAAGCCACGGCUAACUACGUG